rnacentral:rRNA from 1 species
GACGAACGCUGACGGCGUGCUUAACACAUGCAAGUCGAACGAUGAAGAAGAGAAACGCGAACUUCGGUUCAAAUUUCACUUCGGAUUAGUGGCAGACGGGUGAGUAACGCGUGAGCAACCUACCUCUUACAAAGGGAUAGCCUCGGGAAACCGUGAUUAAUACCAUAUGACACAUUCAUAAGGCAUCUUAAGAAUGUUAAAGCUACGGCGGUAAGAGAUGGGCUCGCGUCCCAUUAGCUAGUUGGUGAGGUAACGGCCCACCAAGGCGACGAUGGGUAACCGGCCUGAGAGGGUGAACGGUCACAUUGGAACUGAGACACGGUCCAAACUCCUACGGGAGGCAGCAGUGGGGAAUAUUGCACAAUGGAGGGAACUCUGAUGCAGCGACGCCGCGUGAGCGAUGAAGGAAUUCGUUUCGUAAAGCUCUGUUCUAUGGGAAGAAAAGGACUGUACCAUAGGAGAAAGCCCCGGCUAAAUACGUG